AAUACUAUACAAAUUACGAAAAAAGAAAAGAAAAAGAAAGAGAGAGUAAAAAAGAGACAAACAAGCAAAACAUGUUCCUCUCACUACACUUCAUCACGUGACCUGCACGUGACUGAAUGCCAUUGAUGAUGUGGAAUAGAUGCAUUGUACUUUUGACUUUUCAAUGGUCAAAUCAAACACAUGGGAGUACAAUAAUGCAAUGCUGCCAAUCAAUCUUCCUCGUCGUGUGAAUCACGCGCUGGGAGUGAGAGUGGUUUACCUGAAGAUCAUAAAUUUUGCGUUUUUCCGAGUUGGUAGUGCGGCUGUAUGUCUUUUAGCAAACCCAAAACUUGUUGCAUUCUAGGCCGUUUAUUUGGGGCCUCCGCCGUACACAAGUACCCAACUCGGAGGCACUCCACCAUCUCACUCACUGAGUCACCGCCGAGUUUUAGUCUCGAGUCGAGCGCGUCGGCUCCAUUUCCAUCCUUCACUAGCCUCCUCACCCAUUUAAUCGUCUCAUCCGAGCCGAUUUUCCCUGUUAAUAGCUCCACUAAUACGACUCCAAAAUCGUACACAUCCAUCUCACUAGACCCCUCGGCUUGGUUCCGGCUCAAUCCAAAAUCGGCUAUCCGAGGUUCAAAGUCAUCGGCUAGUAAGACAUUAGAUAGCACCAAAUGACCAUGGACCACGGGUUUUGACUGCGCGUGGUGGAGGUAGG
rnacentral:misc_RNA from 1 species